rnacentral:rRNA from 1 species
GAUGAACGCUGGCGGCGUGCCUAAUACAUGCAAGUCGAGCGAACGGAUGAUACGCUUGCUUCUCUGAUGUUAGCGGCGGACGUGCGAGUAACACGUUGAUACCCUACUUAUCUGACUGGGAUAACGUCGGGAAACUGGAGCUAAUUCCCGAUUAUAUUUUAAUCUUCAUUGUUCAAAAGUGAAAGACUGUCAUGCUCACUUUCAUCGCUACAUCCGCGCUGCAUUGGCUAUUUGGUAAGGUAACGGCUUACCAAGGCAACGAUGAAUAGCCGACCUGGGAGGUGAAUCGGCCAAACGGGAACGGGACCAGGGUCAGGACUCCUACGGGGGGCAGAAGUGGGGAAUCUUGGGCAAGGGGGGAAGGCCUAACGGAGCAAGGCCGCGUGGGUAAUGAAGGUCUUCGGAUCGUAAGACUCUGUUUUAGGGGAAGAACAGAGGUGUAAGUAAAUGUGCACAUCGUGACGGUACCUAAUCAGAAAGCCACGGCUAACUACGUG